AUUCCAUGACGAUGACAGUCUUCAAUGUAAUUCUAGAAUCUUUCCCAUGCUUCAGUGAAUGAUUCAUCAUGUUGUUGAUGGAAACGUGAAAUCUUCCAACGUAGAGC
rnacentral:snoRNA from 1 species